UACGUAGGGUGCAAGCGUUGUCCGGAAUUAGUGGGCGUAAAGAGCUCGUAGGCGGUUUGUUGCGUCGGCUGUGAAAUCCCGAGGCUCAACCUCGGGUCUGCAGUCGAUACGAGCAAACUAGAGUGUUGCAGGGGAGACUGGAAUUCCUGGUGUAGCGGUGAAAUGCGCAGAUAUCAGGAGGAACACCGGUGGCGAAGGCGGGUCUCUGGGCAACAACUGACGCUGAGGAGCGAAAGCGUGGGGAGCGAACAGG
rnacentral:rRNA from 1 species